GGUGGUAGACAGGGUGGAGGCAUCAGAAACCUUUUGCGCAACCUCACGUUCCAGAUCACUGCAACGGCGCUUCACUUUCUUUAACUCAUCAUCCAUUGACUGAUAGUCACGGAGACGAGACAAAGAGGAGAGGCGGCCGUGGAACAAAUAGGCGAGCUGCAAAAAGAGAAAGAAUGAGUAAGGACAUGCUCAUAAAAAUAGUAAAAACAGAAGCACUCACGUUGCUCAGGUUCUGUCCUAUUU
rnacentral:lncRNA from 1 species